GAGGGUAUAGCUCAAUGGUAGAGCAUGUGCUUAGCAUGCACAGGGUCCUGGGUUCAAUCCCCAGUGCCUUCA
rnacentral:tRNA from 1 species